rnacentral:rRNA from 1 species
UACGAAGGGGGCUAGCGUUGCUCGGAAUCACUGGGCGUAAAGCGCACGUAGGCGGCUUGUUAAGUCAGGGGUGAAAGCCUGGAGCUCAACUCCAGAACUGCCUUUGAUACUGGCGAGCUUGAGUCCGGGAGAGGUGAGUGGAACUGCGAGUGUAGAGGUGAAAUUCGUAGAUAUUCGCAAGAACACCAGUGGCGAAGGCGGCUCACUGGCCCGAUACUGACGCUGAGGCACGAAAGCGUGGGGAGCAAACAGG